CGGGGAUUAGCUCAGCUGGGAGAGCACCUGCUUUGCAAGCAGGGGCCGUCGUUCGAUCCGUCAUC
rnacentral:tRNA from 1 species